GAUCAUGGCUCAGGACGAACGCUGGCGGCGUGCUUAACACAUGCAAGUCGAACGAGAAUCUGUGGAACGAGGAUUCGUCCAAGUGAAGCAGAGGACAGUGGCGGACGGGUGAGUAACGCGUGAGGAACCUGCCUUUCAGAGGGGGACAACAGUUGGAAACGACUGCUAAUACCGCAUGACACAUAGAUGUCGCAUGGCAUUUAUGUCAAAGAUUAUCG
rnacentral:rRNA from 1 species